rnacentral:snRNA from 1 species
GAAAAAGAAAAAGAAGAUUAGCAUGGCCCCUGUGCAAGGAUGACAUACAAAUUCGUGAAGUGUUACAUAUUUUU